CAGUAGCCGCGGUAAUACGUAGGGGGCUAGCGUUGUUCGGAAUUACUGGGCGUAAAGCGCACGUAGGCGGAUAUUUAAGUCAGGGGUGAAAUCCCGCAGCUCAACUGCGGAACUGCCUUUGAUACUGGGUAUCUUGAGUAUGGAAGAGGUUAGUGGAAUUGCGAGUGUAGAGGUGAAAUUCGUAGAUAUUCGCAGGAACACCAGUGGCGAAGGCGGCUAACUGGUCCAUAACUGACGCUGAGGUGCGAAAGCGUGGGGAGCAAACAGGAUUAGAUACCCCUGUAGUCCCUGUCUCUUAUAA
rnacentral:rRNA from 1 species